GUAAUGAGUCGCUCCGCCGCGGCGCCCUUUCGGGGCGACGAGGAAAGUCCGGGCAACGCAGAGCACCCUGCUUCCUAACGGGAAGGAUGUGCCGCAAGGUGCAGACAGCCAGUGCCACAGAAAACUACCGCCUACGUUGCUUUCGGGCAGCCGGUAAGGGUGAAAAGGUGCGGUAAGAGCGCACCAGCGGGCAGGCAACUGUCCCGGCUGGGUAAACCUCAGGGGUUGAAAGACCAAAUAAGCGGAUACGUGGGCUUUCGGGCCCGCACCGGGCGGCUCGUUCGGCGUCCGUGGGUAGGUUGAUGGAGCCUUUCCGCGAGGACUGGCCUAGAUAAAUGGUGGAGACGCUGCUUCCGAGCAGUGUACAGAACCCGGCUUACAGACUCAUUACCAAA
rnacentral:RNase_P_RNA from 1 species